GUAGGUGGCAAGCGUUGUCCGGAAUUAUUGGGCGUAAAGCGCGCGCAGGCGGUUCUUUAAGUCUGAUGUGAAAGCCCACGGCUCAACCGUGGAGGGUCAUUGGAAACUGGAGAACUUGAGUACAGAAGAGGAAAGCGGAAUUCCACGUGUAGCGGUGAAAUGCGUAGAGGUGUGGAGGAACACCAGUGGCGAAGGCGGCUUUCUGGUCUGUAACUGACGCUGAGGCGCGAAAGCGUGGGGAGCAAACAGGAUUAGCUACCCUGGUAGUCCACGCCGUAAACGAUGAGUGCUAAGUGUUAGGGGGGUUUCCGCCCCCCUUAGUGCUGCAGCUAACGCAUUAAGCACUCCGCCUGGGAGUACGGCCGCAAGGCUG
rnacentral:rRNA from 1 species